GUUCUUAUUCACGAAUCCUAUUAGGAUCUCUAGCACUUGAAUACUCUAUCUGGUAGCUAAAUUCAAAAUUAGAGCAGAUAGGUCGAAUAAGCCUUUUUCCUGAGAGUAGUACAGCGAACGUGUCACGAAAGGCAGCACUCGUAGUAGGGACAAACAUAAAAUAUCUUCAUUUAAGACAGUGUUAUUUACGCUACAUUAUUUUAUUAUUUAAAAAUAAUAUUUAAACACAAAAAAAUUUUUUUAAUAACCACUACCAACAAAACAUUGUAGUUUUGCGAGGUGUACGUCGGGUUAUCGCUAUCCAGAGGAAAAUUUGUUUUUUUAUACCAUUUGUAAAACCUCAUAUUGACGAGGUUAGAUGCAAUAAAUGGAUACAUGCGUCAAGGAGAGUGGAUUUAACAGUAGAAAAAAUUAAUAAAUAUUCAUAUGUGUGCUCAAAACAUUUUAUCGGUGGAAAAGGUCCAACUGUAGAAAAUCCUGAUCCUGUUUCUGCAAUGAUUAGCAAAAUAAAUACCAAGGGCACGAAAAAAACGACUUUCAACAUCAACAAUUGAUUCUCUGUGCAGUCCAGACCAAAAAUCAAAAAGAGGCAAAGAUGCUAAUUCAGAUUCUUUUAUUUCAAGUCAACAAAAUGAUACUCAAGAUAUUUCAGUAGACGACUAUUUAACUCCUAAAGUUACUGAACCACCACCAAGUGACAAAGAACACACCAAUCAAUAUGUAGCUCAUGCAGAAAGUCAAACUUGUAUAGAAGUUGAAAGUAUUUUUGUGAAAAAAUGAAAUUGACACACUUACGAAAAAAUUAAGUGCAUCUACCCUUAACUAUGAAUCAUGUAUAAAUGACAGUAAGAAGUUUAAGUUUUAUACAGGUCUUAUGCCAGAAGAUUUUGAUAUUGUGUGGAAUUUCUUAGGACCGCCAACUGAAUCAUCACUGAGGAUCUGGCACUCACAAUCAGGAACUAAUAACCGCAUAACGAUAAAGCAAUUUAAAGUAUUAUCGUUAAAAAAUCAACUUUUUUUUAACUCUUGUGAGAUUAAGAUGUGGUUUUUUAUUGUACGAUUUAAGUUGUCGGUUUGGUGUGAGUAUGAGUUCUAUUUCAAAAAUAACAACAACAUGGAUCCAAUUAAUGUAUUGUAAAUUUAAA